rnacentral:rRNA from 1 species
AUUGAACGCUGGGGGAAUGCUUUACACAUGCAAGUCGAACGGCAGCACGGACUUCGGUCUGGUGGCGAGUGGCGAACGGGUGAGUAAUGUAUCGGAACGUGCCCAGUCGUGGGGGAUAACGUAGUGAAAAUUACGCUAAUACCGCAUACGAUCUAUGGAUGAAAGCGGGGGAUCGCAAGACCUCGCGCGAUUGGAGCGGCCGAUAUCAGAUUAGGUAGGUGGUGGGGUAAAGGCCCACCAAGCCAACGAUCUGUAGCUGGUCUGAGAGGACGACCAGCCACACUGGAACUGAGACACGGUCCAGACUCCUACGGGAGGCAGCAGUGGGGAAUUUUGGACAAUGGGCGAAAGCCUGAUCCAGCCAUUCCGCGUGCAGGAUGAAGGCCCUCGGGUUGUAAACUGCUUUUAUACAGAACGAAAAGGUUUCUACUAAUACUAGGAGCUCAUGACGGUACUGUAAGAAUAAGCACCGGCUAACUACGUGCCAGCCGCCGCCGUAA